rnacentral:rRNA from 1 species
AGAGUACUACAAGCGAAAAGCUUAAAACUCAAAGGACUUGACGGCAUUCCAACCACACUAGAGGAGCCUGUCCUAUAAUCGAUAACCCACGCUUUACCUCACCUAUGCUUGCACAAACCAGCCUAUAUACCGCCGUCUGCAGCCCGCCUUACAAAAGCACACACAGCGCGCAAACCAGUCAACACUAAAACGUCAGGUCAAGGUGUAGCUUACGCAUAGGAAGAGAUGGGCUACAUUUUCUAACAAUAGAAAACUACCACCACCACCAUGAAACACGUGCUCAAAGGAGGAUUUAGCAGUAAGCCACGCAAGAUUUGCCUGACUGAACACCGCUCUGGAAUGCGU